AAGGUAGCAUAAUCAAUAGUCUUUUAAUUGAAGGCUGGAAUGAAUGGUUAGAUGAGGUAAACGCUGUCUCUAGNAAAGAAAUGAAGAAAUUGAUUUGUUAGUUAAAAAGCUGGCAUGAAAUUGGGGGACGAGAAGACCCUAUAGAUCUUUAUAACGUUACCUUAANAUUUAUAGAAGAGUUAUAAGUUAAGGAAAUCUUUAUUUUGUUGGGGUGACAAGGAAAUAAUAAAACUUUCUUUUAAUAUUACACUAAUAAGUGGAUAAANNAGAUCCAAUCAUUUUGAUUACAAGAACAAGUUACCUUAGGGAUAACAGCAUAAUCUUUUCUGAGAGUUCUAAUCGAAGAAAGGGGUUGUGACCUCGAUGUUGGACUAAGAU
rnacentral:rRNA from 1 species